CCUACGGGAGGCAGCAGUGGGGAAUCUUGCGCAAUGGGCGAAAGCCUGACGCAGCCAUGCCGCGUGAAUGAUGAAGGUCUUAGGAUUGUAAAAUUCUUUCACCGGGGACGAUAAUGACGGUACCCGGAGAAGAAGCCCCAGCUAACUUCGUGCCAGCAGCCGCGGUAAUA
rnacentral:rRNA from 1 species